rnacentral:rRNA from 1 species
AUUGAACGCUGGCGGCAUGCUUUACACAUGCAAGUCGAACGGCAGCACAGGGAGCUUGCUCCUGGGUGGCGAGUGGCGAACGGGUGAGUAAUGUAUCGGAACGUGCCUGGUAGUGGGGGAUAACUACUCGAAAGAGUGGCCAAUACCGCAUGAGAUCUUUGGAUGAAAGCGGGGGACCUUCGGGCCUCGUGCUACUGGAGCGGCCGAUAUCAGAUUAGGUUGUUGGUGGGGUAAAGGCCUACCAAGCCUGCGAUCUGUAGCUGGUCUGAGAGGACGACCAGCCACACUGGGACUGAGACACGGCCCAGACUCCUACGGGAGGCAGCAGUGGGGAAUUUUGGACAAUGGGCGCAAGCCUGAUCCAGCAAUGCCGCGUGCAGGACGAAGGCCUUCGGGUUGUAAACUGCUUUUGUACAGAACGAAAAGUCUCUGGCUAAUAUCUAGAGAUCAUGACGGUACUGUAAGAAUAAGCACCGGCUAACUACGUG